CAGCAGCCACGGUAAUACGUAGGGUGCGAGCGUUAAUCGGAAUUACUGGGCGUAAAGCGUGCGCAGGCGGUUAUAUAAGACAGUUGUGAAAUCCCCGGGCUCAACCUGGGAACUGCAUCUGUGACUGUAUAGCUAGAGUACGGUAGAGGGGGAUGGAAUUCCGCGUGUAGCAGUGAAAUGCGUAGAUAUGCGGAGGAACACCGAUGGCGAAGGCAAUCCCCUGGACCUGUACUGACGCUCAUGCACGAAAGCGUGGGGAGCAAACAGGAUUAGAUACCCCCGUAGUCCCUGUCUCUUAUAC
rnacentral:rRNA from 1 species